GAGCUCUGAUUUGCUUAUUGCACCACAUGUGUUUUUCUUUGAAACAAACUUGCUUUGGCGGUGGGCCCAGCCUGCCGCCAGAGGUCUAAACUUACAACCAAUUUUUUAUCAACUUGUCACACCAGAUUAUUACUAAUAGUCAAAACUUUCAACAACGGAUCUCUUGGUUCUCGCAUCGAUGAAGAACGCAGCGAAAUGCGAUACGUAAUAUGAAUUGCAGAUAUUCGUGAAUCAUCGAAUCUUUGAACGCACAUUGCGCCCUCUGGUAUUCCGGAGGGCAUGCCUGUUUGAGCGUCGUUUCUCCCUCAAACCGCUGGGUUUGGUGUUGAGCAAUACGACUUGGGUUUGCUUGAAAGACGGUAGUGGUAAGGCGGGAUCGCUUUGACAAUGGCUUAGGUCUAACCAAAAACAUUGUUUGCGGCGGUAACGUCCACCACGUAUAUCUUCAAACUUUGACCUCAAAUCAGGUAGGACUACCCGCUGAACUUAAGCAUAUCAAUAAGCCGGAGGAA
rnacentral:rRNA from 1 species